CCUACGGGAGGCAGCAGUGAGGAAUAUUGGUCAAUGGGCGAGAGCCUGAACCAGCCAAGUCGCGUGAGGGAGUACUGCCCUAUGGGUUGUAAACCUCUUUUGUCGGGGAGCAAAAGCCGGACGUGUCCGGCUGUGAGAGUACCCGAAGAAAACGCAUCGGCUAACUCCGUGCCAGCAGCCGCGGUAAUACGGAGGAUGCGAGCGUUAUCCGGAUUUAUUGGGUUUACAGGGUGCGCAGGCGGAUUUUUAAGUCAGCGGUAAAAUCGUGGGGCUCAACCCCAUCCAGCCGUUGAAACUGGGGAUCUAGAGUGUGCGAGAGGGAUGCAGAAUGCGUGGUGUAGCGGUGAAAUGCAUAGAUAUCACGCAGAACCCCGAUUGCGAAGGCAGCAUACCGGUGCACAACUGACGCUCAGGCACGAAAGCGUGGGUAUCGAACAGGAUUAGAUACCCGAGUAGUC
rnacentral:rRNA from 1 species